CCUACGGGCGGCAGCAGUGGGGAAUAUUGCACAAUGGGGGGAACCCUGAUGCAGCGACGCCGCGUGGGUGAAGGAGUAUUUCGGUAUGUAAAGCCCUAUCAGCAGGGAAGAACAAUGACGGUACCUGACUAAGAAGCACCGGCUAAAUACGUGCCAGCAGCCGCGGUAAUACGUAUGGUGCAAGCGUUAUCCGGAUUUAUUGGGUUUAAAGGGUGCGUAGGCUGUGAGGUAAGUCAGCGGUGAAAUGCCCCCGCUCAACGGGGUGAAGUGCCAUUGAUACUGCCUUGCUGGAAUGCGGAUGCCGUGGGAGGAAUGUGUGGUGUAGCGGUGAAAUGCAAAGAUAUCACACAGAACACCGAUUGCGAAGGCAUCUCACGAAUCCGCGAUUGACGCUGAUGCACGAAAGCGUGGGUAUCAAACAGGAUUAGAUACCCCUGUAGUC
rnacentral:rRNA from 1 species